ensembl:lncRNA
CUCUGAUCUUGCAGCACGUGACCUCCACCUGAAGCCAUAAAUAGGGGUGAAACAGCAGGCUUUAUACCUGAAUCUUGCAUUUUGCAUUUUUAGUUGUCGUACGUUAAAUGUACAGACCGCGAUCUUCCCUUUCUGAAAGCUUUCUGGAAACGGAUGUCCAACGUAAUUGUAGCGAAGCUAAGUCAUUGACAAUGUCUUUAUCCAGUGUUAGAACCCCUACCCCCAUUAAUUCAGAGGAUAUUUUACCUGCUAUCAGCGGGUGUUUCGAUAGGCUCUCUGGAUUACAGUGGGGCUUGAUAGAAAAUGGGAUCUGGGACUCCGAUGUCCAAGUAGCACUGGCUGAUAUGAUUACUGAUGUCAUACAGUCAGUUAGCGCAAGCACCAUAAAAACUUCAAUUCUAGGAGGUCAGGACCAAUUAAAUGAUGCGUCAUUUCAGACAAGCCUUAGCAUAGCCGUGACAAAAAUAAGCCCCAUAUUGGGAAACUCUCUCUCAACCAGCUUUGCUGCCGCUCUUAAUGUCACCCAUGAGGAGUGUGACAGCGCUGUGGAGCUGACACAGAUGGUUGAGGAGGAGAUCUCAAAUAAAGUCAACUCGGGUUGGGUUCUAGUCCCAGAAAACCCUGAAUCUAUUUAUGUCACCAGAAAAAUAACAAACAUAAAAAACCUCAGAUGCAUGGUUUCUCAUGCUUUCUCAUAUCUGAAGAAAUAUAAAGGUAAGCUGAGCUGCCUGUGCAUGAAGACUUUACCCAGCUCCUUUAGUUCAAGCGUUGAGAGUCUUGAAUCCAAGCUCUCUGAGAUGGGAACAAUUAAAGAAAUAAGUAUGGGUCUCAUGAGGUGGAGUACAGACAGAGAGAUAAGUAAAGAUGACGAGGACUGUCACAUAGAACUGCAACCCAUGGAGAAAAAAGAAAGUGAUGAGUUUGCAGAAGCUGAGGAGAAAGCUCGAAAUGAUAUUGAAACAAUCCUCAACAGUCUGAAUUAUUUACAUGAUGAAGAUGAUGCAGAUAAAGCUGCAGCUGACAUUGUAAAUGUGUUAAUUGCUAACAUUCAGUAUCCUGAUGCAGAAGAUAUCACAUUAAGUGAGAAGUGUAGCUCACCCAAGCCUGCUUUUGAUGUGGACCUGGUGAUCAAAAAGGUGAAAGACUUUUUUGCAUCAUGCGCCCUAAUUAUAAAACCAGAUGAAGUAAAACAACACUUCUUCAGGUUUGCUAAAAAGGAAUUUGAAAAAAUGAACAGUGAGCUGAAAGAUCAGGUGAAGAAAAGCAAAGGAUAUUUGACCUUUCACAGACAACAGGCAAACUCCGCUGAGAGUGAGAGAGCUGACUCCAGGAAAAGCGUACACAUGAAUCCCUCAGAAGUUCCCAGAAAAUCACCAACCUUAGAAACCACAGUUAAAAGUUCUUCUCCACUCAAAUUUAGAACAGUCAUGCCGGUUAUGGAUAAACUGUUUAGUAAAUUAACACAGGCAGGACACCUUGACCUGACAAGUAAGGAAAUCGAGAUGUUUUCAAGGGAGUUGACAGAUAAAGUGUACGACCAUGUUGAGUCAACAUAUCCAGCUCCCACGAUGCAAAUGGGUAAAAGUCUCUCACAGUCUGACAUGUCUAAGACUUCACAGGGUGACUGUAACGUACCCUCUGCUCCUAAGGUGCCAUAUGUGCUCGUAGAAGAUUCAGUGGAAAGGUUCUUACAAAACCUUCUUUUCUGGUUGGAGAAUGAAACUUUAACCCAAACUAUUAUAAAUGACAAAAUUUCUGGUGCCGUGGAAGAUAUAGUAAGAGUGCUGACCCCAUCAAAGGAAGAAGUUAUGAUUGGACCAGAUGCUGGUGAAACAAGUGACAGACUGUUUACAUCACAGUCAAGUCCAGUUACUGAUCUCACCAAUCAACCAGUCUGUGUGAGUGCAGAACACCCGGACCUGGUUUCAAAUACAAGCAAUGAUCAGGCAUCAGUGUCUCACUCUGAACCCACAGAGAG